rnacentral:rRNA from 1 species
UGGGGAAUCUUGGACAAUGGGGGCAACCCUGAUCCAGCCAUGCCGCGUGAGCGAUGAAGGCCUUAGGGUUGUAAAGCUCUUUCACCGGUGAAGAUAAUGACGGUAGCCGGAGAAGAAGCCCCGGCUAACUCCGUGCCAGCAGCCGCGGUAAUACGGAGGAUGCAAGCGUUAUCCGGAAUUAUUGGGCGUAAAGCGUCCGCAGGUGGCACUUCAAGUCUGCUGUCAAAGACCAGAGCUCAACUCUGGGCAGGCGGUGGAAACUGGGGAGCUAGAGUACGGUAGGGGUAGAGGGAAUUUCCAGUGUAGCGGUGAAAUGCGUAGAGAUUGGAAAGAACACCAGUGGCGAAGGCGCUCUACUGGACCUGUACUGACACUAAGGGACGAAAGCUAGGGGAGCGAAAGGGAUUAGAUACCCCCGUAGUCC